rnacentral:lncRNA from 1 species
AAAUACAAUAAUAGUAUAGUACUAAUACAAAAUACUUAAGAUUUAAACAUCUUUCAUGUACUUAAAAUCUUAAAUACUACAAAAUAGUCUAUUACAAAAUAACUUUAUGUCCUCUUCUUGUCCUUUUUACGCCUAUAGAUCACUGAUUCAAGCUCAAGUUCAUCUUCAGAUUCAUUGAGGGGAGGUUUGUGCCUUUGUGGGUGUUCUUGCGUUUUCCAGUUCUGGAAAACAAAGAGUCCUAAAAUCUUUGAAAAAAAAGACAAGUCAAUCAGAUACGGGUCCAUCCGACCUGGAUCCGAUUAAGAUCCAAUAACUGGAGGCGCCUUGAAAAGCACCUCCAGUAAUGCAGUAAACAAUCAAUGGAAAAUAAAAAGUACCUCAAUAUCGUGAAUGAAGAACAAUCUGAAAAUUCCAGCACUUCAGAUUGAAUAAGGAGAGAUCUAUUGGAAUCCACCAAUAGUUCCACUAGUAGAGGAUAAAAAAUCAGAUAGGAGUCCACCUGAUCCGAUGAGAAAAUAAGCAAGUAUCGCAAGAUCUGAGAAAAGUAGGAGAGAGAAAAUAAUGGUAAUUCACCUUGGGAAAAUUAUAUUCUACCCUCCUUCUUUGAGUCCACUCCUAUUUAUACUCCCAAUGUCUAAGAGUGGAAAUUCCACAUUGGGAGUUGGUCAGUCCAAUUAAAGGGACUGAGCCAUGGCUCGAGCCAAUGACCUUGUAGAUGAUUGCAAUGGGCUACAUCAUCCAGGUAGCGCACUCGCGCAUAUAGAACCAUGCCUGAAACUAAGGAAGCCUUACUCGAGGGACAUGAGAUAAGAAUUGCUGUAUCAACUCUCGAUUGAAAUAAAUCGCAUCUUCGAGUUACUGUCAGACCUAGCAUCACCGAAUCGGUCAUCUUCACAAGAGAGCUGUUUUAGGUUUAAUUAGCAAUGCUCUUAUUAAAUUCACUAGUAAGAAUCUAUUUAUCUGUGAACCUUUAUGAAUAUAUAGUUCACAAAUCCCAUUACCUUUCACAUCACACAAGGAAUAUAGUUUACAAGGAACCUCUGUUGUUCGAAGUCCAAAUGAUGUAGCAGAUCUCUGAUUGAAGAUCUACUAUUAAAUAAAUCUUCUGAAUGCACAGAAGAUGAAGAAAAACAACUGGACUCCACCAGAAUUUGAAAGAAAUAAGAAGAAACAGCAAAACCUAGGAAGAAGCAAGAGAGGGUUUAGAGAGUAAAGGAAGCAAGGGAGAUAAUACCUUCGGAAUAUUACUUGAGAAAAAUAAUCUACCGAUCCUCCUCUUCUUGCCCCUAUUGAUAUUUUCUUCAAAGCUUGACAAUAAUAGGCCUUUAAUAUUGAAAAUGGGCCAAGAGCCCAUGUACGAUAUGACUACAUCAUCAAAUUUCGCAGUUUUGGGAGGCUGGGUUAAAUGACUGGAUCCGAGUAUGAAAUGAGAUUAAAUCCUCUACCUAACGAUGCCCAAAUUCCACUCUUGAGAAGAAUCUCUCUAGAAGUUAAAAUCUCUUAGAAAAAAUCAGCUUGCCUUCUCUUAGGGGACGUUUCUUUUAUUUCUGGGGUUUCACUUUGUGCUUGAUUGGUUAUGGGCUUUAAGCGUGCUUAGCAGCCCUCUCUCGACAUUUUAUAUUGCAUCAAAAUUUAUUUUUUAUUCCUGAUUAUGAUAUUGUUUUUUAAAUUUGGAUACGAAAAUAGAAAGUAGAUUUUUUCUUCUCUUUUUUG